ensembl:lncRNA
CUCUAUAGCAAAGGGGGAGCGCAUUGAGUAUUAUAGUCAACGAUAUCAUAACGUGCUUAUCGAAAUAUAUAACAGAAAAUAUAUUUUCACACGCGUUCCCUUUUAUAAAACUGUUGAACGAUUUGUAUGUCUAUUCAAAGAGAAACAUCUCCUUCAAGACAAAUACAUUUCUUCCUCACCUGGAAUUACAAAUGAAAAAUGUAGGCAUGAUCAAUUAUUUUCCGGGAAUAACGGUAAUCCAGCGUUGGUGAAUGGACAACUAAGAGAACCGGUAAAGCUACGUUUUGAACACUUUUUAAUGAACAUAUUCUGAUUAAAUUUCGUCUGUUUGCAUAACUUCAAAGCUUGAAAACGGAUUUCCACAGCCUCAUUCGACUUCUACACAUAAACACUUCUUUCGCAAUUUAACAUGGAAGUUCAUUAAUUGAGUGCUCGUUUUGGUAAUCUAUCUGAUCUUUUGAUAACGAUUAUUUUUACCACUUGACAUUGUAAUUGUUGAACAUUUAAAGGAGACCAGCGCAUCCGCGUGUUAACUGCAAUCUAUGCGCUUCUAUUGUGAUGUAGCAAGUGUAGGACAAUUUUUUGAUGCAUUGUUUUAUUGGCAUCAAACGCAACAAUUGAUGUGCGGCGAUAUAUUUUUUUCCCCAUUGUAUAAUAUUAAAGAAACAUGGUGACGGCAGCAUCUAAAGAAGGAUCAUCUGUAUUGCCCUUCUGAAUACAACCAGCGACACGCAGUGCCAGUAUAGAAUAGGUAAAGAAAUUGAAGAAGACUGUGAAAGCCAAGGGCAAAGAACUAAAGGAACUGAAGGAACCUCAAACCAGGAUUACAUCAGUACCGCUUUGUUUGCCAGUUGAAACCACCAGAGGAACGUUCUCCCCUGCUUUUGAUCCAGAGGAUGUUUGCUAAUUACAACAGACUUUUCUGACGGAUUUUGGAUCUUAAUUUUUUCCUUUCUUAUCCUGUUCUGUUUCAAGCGAGACCAAAACCAGUGCAAACAAACUGUGCCAAGAAAAAGGCAACAAAAGGAAUGACAUCAAUGAAACAUUCAAAAAGUACCAUUUAUCAUUCAUACCUUUUAUUUCAGGUAGGGUUAUAUAGAGCUCACACAGUGUUCAUAUUCAAUAUCCAACUACAAUUUUUUUAUUAAUCUUCCCAACACUUUAAAAACACAUUUCAGAUCCCCAAUUGACAUUAAAAAAAAAACAUUGAAACCA